rnacentral:rRNA from 1 species
GAGGGGCAGCAGGGGUAGCAAUACUCGCUGGCGACCGGCGCACGGGUGCGUAACGCGUAUGUAAUCUGCCCACUACAGGGGGAUAGCCCGGAGAAAUUCGGAUUAAUACCCCAUAAAACAGGGAUCCCGCAUGGGAAUAUUGUUAAAGCUCCGGCGGUAGUGGAUGAACAUGCGUCCGAUUAGCUAGUUGGUUGAGGUAACGGCUCACCAAGCCGACGAUCGGUAGCUGGUCUGAGAGGAUGAUCAGCCACACUGGGACUGAGAUACGGCCCAGACUCCUACGGGAGGCAGCAGUGGGGAAUAUUGG